rnacentral:piRNA from 1 species
UGAAAUGUAAAACUCAGGUCCAUUUGUCA